rnacentral:siRNA from 1 species
UAUCGGAAUAGUGCAAAACUGUU